ensembl:lncRNA
CUUCCCAGCCUCCAUAACUCUUCCUGAGCAGCUCCGGAUCAGAAAUGGGUUAUAGAGAGUCCCUGAAGAGUGAUGUGGAGCUGUUCUGCAUGGAUAGAAACUUUAGGAAAUCCCCAUGUCUGGGAUGUGGCACAGCUGCCCAGUGAGGUGGUGGGGUCACUGCCCCUGGAGAUGGUCCUGGAGAGCCAUGGAGAUGUGGCACUGAGGAGCAUGGAGCAAACAACGGCUGGGUCUGCUUGUGGAGAAGGCCCUUGCAAGCAAAUAUCCCUUGAUGAAACAGUCUCAUGAACUGCAAAGCUUCUUCACCGAGGCGCACUAGAACAAGCUACAUUGAGAUGUGCAAUUUGGCUUUCUAAACUCCCCUGGAAAGAAUUUGCAGCCUGGUGAGCAGGCAGAACAAGUACAUUGGGGCAAACACUGCCAGCCCCCGGCGCCCUCCUGCAGAGCAGAAGUCAAAGAAGCAGCUGGCAUCUUUUUCUCCCGCUUUCUGGAGUCUAACUCAUGUUUGUAGCGCUUUGAUUUCUAUGUCGGCGGUCAGGAUGUUCUUCUUUGAGGAAAGCAAAGCCUGGCUCACUGAUUUGAGCCUUCAUGAUGGACAAAGAUGAGAAACGUUGGUGUGGCAGAGAGAAGGCACGGCAGAAACCUCUUCUGCUGGAGAUGCCUGGAUUAGUGGCUCUCACUCAUGGCAGCGUGGCCUUUUAGUUUUUAUUUCCUAUUAUAGAUGAUUGAUUUUUCACUCUGUGCUGCAUGGAAAUGUCUGUCUGCUUUCCACUUAAAAGCUUUGUGUUGCUCAUGGAGCUUGUGUGCUAUAUAUAUAUAUAUAUGUAGCCUAUAGGAGUCAUCUCAACUAUUCCCACAUGGGAACAACUCUGCAUCCACCAAAAUUUUCAUCCAGCUGCCUGAUUUGGUUCCCCUGUCAAUAAGAACAAGAAGACCCAAACAUUG